GGUGUCAGGUUACUUUGAUGCAGAGUAAUGUCCUGGGGAAAAAAAUCGAGAAUUGGAGCAGGGGUGGAUUCUCGAUUCUCCUCCUGGACUGUUGAAUAAUAUAAGUCAUGUUCCCGAAACACAACAUCUAUGGAGGUAAAGACCUUCUGACUAGGUGGAUGAUAACACCGGUAUCGUUUUUGAUGAGGUGCAUAGCCAAUAAAAACACACUUUUUUGCUCGGGGAUCCAAUUUGCUUCGUUGGUGAUCAUGUAAGUGGACAAAUACAACACAGCUGAAAAUUCGGGGUUCCAGGUUUGGGGUGGGAGGUGUUUGGAUAUGGUGGUGAAGUGUUUGAAGUGGUGUUUGGGAAUUUAGGAUACUAGAGGGAAUCCGAUUGAUAAGGUAUCACUACAAGAAAAAUACCGUAUAACAACAUGAAUAUAACAACGUGCGUUUAAUGGGUGUUGUAAAAUAUACUUUUAACAACAUGCUUUUAAAUGCGCGUUGCCUAAAUUUUUUUUUUGACAACAUGCAAAAACUGUGUGUUGUUAAACGGCUAUUUUACAACACACACAAGCGCGUUGCAAGUUUCACUGAAAUCUACAACGUGGCUAGUACGUUGGGAAAUUAUUAUUUUUUUUUUUGGUAAGAGAAAACAUAUAUGAAGUGACAACAAAGUUUAUGAGGGAAAUUUUUUCGCGAACUCCCUCCAUUUUUUUUGGACUGAGCAAACUCCCCAUGAGUAUACUUGGUUUUUUUUUUUUUUUUUUUCUCUUUUAUGAAAACCAAGUUCAAAUUGAGAAACUCAUUCAGCCUUAAGCCCUCUCGCUGUCUCCUCCUCUUCCACCCCUCUCCCCUUCUCUCACCUCCCCCCUUUAUCGCUACUUUGGUUUUCAGCCUAUCCCUCUCAAACACCCUUUUCUCUCCCUUAUUUUAUUGCUAUUUCAUAUGUUCUGGGAAGCCCAAGCAAAUGAAGCAUAUGUGGGCGGAAGACACCACUCUAGCAAGUCGCUCUACUCGUGAAGGAAUCUGCUUCAAAUUCUGUUACAUAUAUGUUUCCUUUUUUGGGGCUUUCUCUUGUAGGGACUUGUCCAUUCUCGAGUGAUUAUUUCUUGCUCCAUUCUGAAUGUUAGCUUGUUGCUCAUUCUUUGCUCUGUUAUUUGGAUGUUAGUUUGAAUCUCUCUAUUUUUAGUUGGUACUUCACAUUCUUAUUUGAAUCUCAUUGGAAACUCUAAUGGAACCACUAGUUUUAAAUCUCCCUAUGUGUUCAUUUGGUUAUGAACUUUCAUUUUGUUUUUAGUUUUGGAUUCAUUCUUUAUUUUGUUUGGAAUUUGGAACACUGAUUUCUAAUUAUGAAACAUCUCUCUAUUAAAAUAACUUCAUUAAAUACAUGUAAUCUGAUUUGGGGCUGGGGCAUAAGGUCUUGUUUGUAGGUGCUGUUUUGAAGGAGAUGAAAAGAGAAGAGGAAAUUGAGCUUUAGUUUCCAAUCUUUGUUAAUAAUUUGUGCAGGCUUAUAGUUUCCAUUUCUAUGUAGAUGGAUUUAUAGGCAAGGUGAGGAUUCUAAAUUAGGUUCCAUUCUUUUUUCUUUUUUCCUACAAUUUUGUUUCUUGAAGAUUUGUUGGCUUUGUGCAAAUGGAGAACACGUUUAAUUUUGAAACCCCACACAUCAAUUGAUUAAGCUAGUCUCUCUCCCACUUUGACACAUGCAAACAAGCACAUUUUGUUUUUGUUGAGUUUCUUUGUUCUAGGGAAAUUUUUUUGUUCGUGAAAAUUACAAUGGAUGACUGCUAAAAUGAGUUUUCUAACAAAAAUGCAGGGGAUUUUGAUAAAUGGCCAAGGCCACAUAUCAAAUGCAAGUUUGAUUCUUGUUAGCUUGUGUCUGCUAUUACUAGGAGGUUUUUGCAUAGGUUGCAUGUGGUUUGGUGUGUUAGAGAUUGAUUUUUGUUGUUAUAUUCAUGACUACGGGUUGGAGGCCAGUGUCAAUUUGUUUCAGGCUUCAAUAGGAGUGCUGGUCAGUUUUUUUCUUUUUCUGUUAUUUUUUAGGAUGAUGCUGUUUGAAUUUUAUUAGUUUUAAAGUGAAUUUUUGAAGAAUAUUGUCAUACUGAAUUGUGUUUGGGUAGGUGGGUUCCAUUAGCAGCUUCAUCCCGAAUUGUAAGCAUUAUUCAUAUUUUCUAUUCAAUUUGAAACUUAUAUAUGCAAUUUUUUUUUCUUUCUCAAUGCACAUAGUUUAUGAUUAGAAGAUCAUUCUCCCUGUUUUUUCUUGUCCAAACCUUUUCAGAAGAUAUUUAAGAUGGUGAAAAAAGCUCGGAAGCAUGGUAAGGGGGAGCUUGGUGGAUUAUGUGGAGUUUGUUGAUAUUGUAAAAGUCAAAGAACUACAAAGGAGAAGCUUGAGUGUAACUUAGUUGGUGAUGAUGAAGUUAUACAUAUGUAUAGAUAUGUUAGAACUUGACUUGUAGGAUAAUCAUGUGUAUAAAUUUGGUUUAGGUUUAUUCGUGUAAUUAGGCAUGCAGUUAGCAGCCCUAGAAUACUUUCAUUUUUUAUAGAUUUUAUUUUGUUUUA